GACGAACGCUGGCGGCGUGCUUAACACAUGCAAGUCGAACGGUAAGGCUCCAGCUUGCUGGGGUACACGAGUGGCGAACGGGCGAGUAACACGUGGGUGACCUGCCCUGCACUUCGGGAUAAGCCUGGGAAACUGGGUCUAAUACCGGAUAGGACCGCACCGUGAGGGUGUGGUGGAAAGUUUUUUCGGUGUGGGAUGGGCCCGCGGCCUAUCAGCUUGUUGGUGGGGUAAUGGCCUACCAAGGCGGCGACGGGUAGCCGGCCUGAGAGGGUGGACGGCCACAUUGGGACUGAGACACGGCCCAGACUCCUACGGGAGGCAGCAGUGGGGAAUAUUGCACAAUGGGCGGAAGCCUGAUGCAGCGACGCCGCGUGGGGGAUGACGGCCUUCGGGUUGUAAACUCCUUUCACCAUCGACGAAGGGUUUCUGACGGUAGAUGGAGAAGAAGCACCGGCUAACUACGUGCCAGCAGCCGCGGUAAUACGUAGGGUGCGAGCGUUGUCCGGAAUUACUGGGCGUAAAGAGCUCGUAGGUGGUUUGUCGCGUCGUCUGUGAAAUUCCGGGGCUUAACUCCGGGCGUGCAGGCGAUACGGGCAUAACUUGAGUACUGUAGGGGAGACUGGAAUUCCUGGUGUAGCGGUGAAAUGCGCAGAUAUCAGGAGGAACACCGGUGGCGAAGGCGGGUCUCUGGGCAGUAACUGACGCUGAGGAGCGAAAGCAUGGGGAGCGAACAGGAUUAGAUACCCUGGUAGUCCAUGCCGUAAACGGUGGGCGCUAGGUGUGGGUUUCCUUCCACGGGAUCCGUGCCGUAGCUAACGCAUUAAGCGCCCCGCCUGGGGAGUACGGCCGCAAGGCUAAAACUCAAAGGAAUUGACGGGGGCCCGCACAAGCGGCGGAGCAUGUGGAUUAAUUCGAUGCAACGCGAAGAACCUUACCUGGGCUUGACAUAUACAGGAUCGCGCCAGAGAUGGUGUUUCCCUUGUGGCUUGUAUACAGGUGGUGCAUGGUUGUCGUCAGCUCGUGUCGUGAGAUGUUGGGUUAAGUCCCGCAACGAGCGCAACCCUUGUCUUAUGUUGCCAGCACGUUGUGGUGGGGACUCGUAAGAAACUGCCGGGGUUAACUCGGAGGAAGGUGGGGAUGACGUCAAAUCAUCAUGCCCCUUAUGCCCAGGGCUUCACACAUGCUACAAUGGUCGGUACAGUGGGUUGCCAGUCCGUGAGGGCGAGCUAAUCCCGCAAAGCCGGUCUCAGUUCGGAUCGGGGUCUGCAACUCGACCCCGUGAAGUCGGAGUCGCUAGUAAUCGCAGAUCAGCAACGCUGCGGUGAAUACGAUCCCGGGCCU
rnacentral:rRNA from 1 species